GACGAACGCUGGCGGCGUGCUUAACACAUGCAAGUCGAACGGAAAGGCCCUGCUUUUGUGGGGUGCUCGAGUGGCGAACGGGUGAGUAACACGUGAGUAACCUGCCCUUGACUUUGGGAUAACUUUAGGAAACUGGGGCUAAUACCGGAUAGGAGCUCCUGCUGCAUGGUGGGGGUUGGAAAGUUUCGGCGGGUGGGGAUGGACUCGCGGCUUAUCAGCUUGUUGGUGGGGUAGUGGCUUACCAAGGCAUUGACGGGUAGCCGGCCUGAGAGGGUGACCGGCCACAUUGGGACUGAGAUACGGCCCAGACUCCUACGGGAGGCAGCAGUGGGGAAUAUUGCACAAUGGGCGGAAGCCUGAUGCAGCAACGCCGCGUGCGGGAUGACGGCCUUCGGGUUGUAAACCGCUUUCGCCAGUGACGAAGCGUGAGUGACGGUAAUGGGUGAAGAAGCACCGGCUAACUACGUG
rnacentral:rRNA from 1 species